rnacentral:tRNA from 1 species
UAGCCUAAUGGUUAAGGUUUUGGAUCGCCAAUCCGGAGACGACGGGUUCGAUUCCCGU